UUGAGCAGACCGGGUUUCUUCCCCUGGAAGGGCUCAUACGAGGGUCUCGGGAUCCGUUCUGCUGUCGCGUUUUCCACUAUGCUGUGAAUAUCUUUGCAGCGUCCACAUUAGUGUCUAUCUUGUAAUUCUUAAAAGCUGAUGGAUGAUCCAGGACAUCUGUGCUGUCUCCAGGAUAACUAUACUCAUUGAGAUAUGGUGGCUCAUGCCUGUAAUCCCAGCACUUUGGGAUUACGAGACCGAGGCAGGAGGAUCACUGAGUCCAAGCGUUCGAGACCAGCCUGGGCAACAUGGCACAACCUUGCCUCUGCAGAUUUUUAAAAAUUAGCUGAGUGUGGUGGCCUGUGCCUGUGGUUCCCAGUUACUUCAGAGGCUGAGGCAGGAGGAUCACUUGAGCCCAGGAGCUCGAGGUUACAGAGAGCCACGAUCACACACUGCACUGCAGCCUUGG
rnacentral:lncRNA from 1 species